rnacentral:rRNA from 1 species
UACGAAGGGGGCUAGCGUUGCUCGGAAUCACUGGGCGUAAAGGGUGCGCAGGCGGUUUUGUAAGCCAGAUGUGAAAUCCCCGGGCUCAACCUGGGAAUGGCAUUUGGGACUGCAAGGCUAGAGUGUGGCAGAGGAGACUGGAAUUCCUGGUGUAGCAGUGAAAUGCGUAGAUAUCAGGAGGAAUACCGAUGGCGAAGGCAGGUCUCUGGGCUGACACUGACGCUCAUGCACGAAAGCGUGGGGAGCAAACAGG